rnacentral:rRNA from 1 species
CUGCCAGUAAUCAUAUGCUUGUCUCAAAGAUUAAGCCAUGCAUGUCUAAGUAUCAACUCUGGUAUGGUAAGACUGCGGAUGGCUCAUUAAAUCAGUUAUAGUUUACUUGAUCGAGGUCUUUGACCAAUGGAUAACUGUAGUAAUUCUAGAGCUAAUACAUGCAAAAAAGCCCGACUUCACGGAAGGGCUGCAAUUAUUAGAUACCAACCCUACGGGCUUCGGCUCUUAGAUGAUUCUAGAUAACUCUAUCCGCUUAUCGUGUGGCCUUGUGCCGACGAUAGUUCAAUCAAGUUUCUGCCCUAUCAACUUUGGAAGGUAGUUUAUUAGACUACCUUGGUUAUAACGGGUACGGGGAAUUAGGGUUCGAUUCCGGAGAGGGAGCCUGAGAAAUGGCUACCACUUCCAAGGAAGGCAGCAGGCGCGUAAAUUACCCAAUCCUAAUACAGGGAGGUAGUGACAAUAAAUAACAAGGUUGGGCUCCUAAGGGGCUCAACCAUUGGAAUGAGUACAAUUUAAAUCAGUUAACAAGGAACAAUUAGAGGGCAAGUCUGGUGCCACCAGCCGCGGUAAUUCCAGCUCUAAUAGUGUAUAUUAAAGUUGUUGCAGUUAAAAAGCUCGUAGUCAGAACCAUGAGUGGUUAAUCUCACUCUGUUUCGUUGGUUUCCAUCGAACAUUGGGGGAACCUACUCUUAAUUGGCUGGAUCGCUCGCUUCUGCCCUUAAUUGGGUGGUUGUGAGAGCCAGCCCGUUCACUUUGAGAAAAUUAGAGUGUUCAAUGCAGGCAACCAGUUUGCCUUUGAAUAGAUUAGCAUAGGAUGAUAAAAUAAGACUCAUUCAGUGUUUGCUGGGUUUAACUGAAGGGGUAAUGAUUAAUAGGAAUGGGCGAGGCCACUCGUAUCACACUGUCAGAGGUGAAAUUCUUAGAUUUUUGUGAGACGAACAAAGGCGAAAGCAUUUGGCAAGUACAUUUCCAUUGAUCAAGAACGAAAGUUAGGGGAUCGAAGACGAUCAGAUACCGUCGUAGUCUUAACUAUAAACCAUACGAACCAACGAUCUAGCGUCGUUUAUUGCUUGACAUGCUAGGUAGUUUGAGAGAAAUCAUUGAGUCUUUGCGUUCUGGGGGGAGUAUGGUCGCAAGUCUGAAACUUAAAGGAAUUGACGGAAGGGCA